UACGUAGGGGUGCGAGCGUUGUCCGGAAUUACUGGGCGUAAAGAGCUCGUAGGUGGUUUGUCGCGUUGUUCGUGAAAACUCACAACUCAAUUGUGGGCGUGCGGGCGAUACGGGCAGACUGGAGUACUGCAGGGGAGACUGGAAUUCCUGGUGUAGCGGUGGAAUGCGCAGAUAUCAGGAGGAACACCGGUGGCGAAGGCGGGUCUCUGGGCAGUAACUGACGCUGAGGAGCGAAAGCGUGGGGAGCGAACAGG
rnacentral:rRNA from 1 species